AGAACUGAGGGGGGCUGCUCCUAGUACGAGAGGACCGGAGUGGACGCAUCACUGGUGUUCGGGUUGUCAUGCCAAUGGCACUGCCCGGUAGCUAAAUGCGGAAGAGAUAAGUGCUGAAAGCAUCUAAGCACGAAACUUGCCCCGAGAUGAGUUCUCCCUGAGACUUUAAGUCUCCUGAAGGAACGUUGAAGACGACGACGUUGAUAGGCCGGGUGUGUAAGCGCAGCGAUGCGUUGAGCUAACCGGUACUAAUGAACCGUGAGGCUUAACCUUACAACGCCGAAG
rnacentral:rRNA from 1 species